UGGGGAAUAUUGGACAAUGGGGGCAACCCUGAUCCAGCCAUGCCGCGUGUGUGAAGAAGGCCUUUUGGUUGUAAAGCACUUUAAAGCAGGGAGGAGAGGCUAAAUGGUUAAUACCCAUUAGAUUAGACGUUACCUGCAGAAUAAGCACCGGCUAACUCUGUGCCAGCAGCCGCGGUAAUACAGAGGGUGCGAGCGUUAAUCGGAAUUACUGGGCGUAAAGCGAGUGUAGGUGGCUCAUUAAGUCACAUGUGAAAUCCCCGGGCUUAAACCUGGGAACUGCAUGUGAUACUGGUGGUGCUAGAAUAUGUGAGAGGGAAGUAGAAUUCCCAGGUGUAGCGGUGAAAUGCGUAGAGAUCUGGAGGAAUACCGAUGGCGAAGGCAGCUUCCUGGCAUAAUAUUGACACUGAGAUUCGAAAGCGUGGGUAGCAAAACAGGAUUAGAUACCCUGGUAGUCCACGCCGUAAACGAUGUCUACUAGCCGUUGGGGUCCUUGAGACUUUAGUGGCGCAGUU
rnacentral:rRNA from 1 species